GGGAGAAGCAGGCUUCCUGCCGAGCAGGGAGCCAGAUGUGGGGCUCGAUCCCAGGACCCCGGGAUCAUGACCUGAGCCGAAGGCAGACGCUUAACCAACUGAGCCACCCAGAUGCCCCAGAAAUUUUUGAACCACUGAAAGCCCACAUUGGCUGUUUUUGAGGCAUCAUGACUUUUAAAUUGCCAGAAAUCACUGGAGUCAGGGGGCUCACCAGGACACAUGUCAGUGUUGCACCUCUGGAUCUGGGAGUCUGGCCCCCCACAAGCUCUUCCGCCGUUGGAGGGAUGAGGGUUAUCACAUGUGCGGAACCGCCGCAUCUGCCCCCCGUUGCA